AGGAACUUUCCACCUACCUAUUAUCUUACAGGUUAAGGCCGUGAUCUUCAGGGACAAACUGGAUGGCCAUCCUGACCUGGUGCCCAACAUCCUGGCCUGGCAGGACAUGAUCCAGAAUUCCCCUCCUUGGCUAAAACCCUUUUUACCCCCCAAAGUGCACAACUCGGCUGAAGGAAAGACGGAGUCACCUCAAGAAGCUGGCUUCAGGGACAGCCUUGCAUUUGGGAAGAGACAACACACCUACACGACAUUAACAAACUGCAGAAUCAAAAGCCAAAUCUCCCAGCAUUUGGAGAACAGUGAUGGAUCGCCCAGCGCUAUGCCACUUACAUGGGGAAGAUGUGUCUUACUUUCCAAAGAAACUUUAGUUUGCCAACUGCUCUAUACCUUCCUUUAGGAAACUAGAACUUGUCUGUUUGGUUAAUGAUUACAGAUUCAAAGGAAUUCAUUUUUUAAAGCGAAAUUCAUGACUCAUUGUUUGAAUUAACACUCCUCCACCCCAGCCCACCCUCUGUUUUCUAUAUUGUUAAUGUUGAUGAAGAAGUCAUCACAUCUUAUUGAUUCUGUUCUCCUGGCUUCCUCUGCAUCAGGAUAUAGCACAAAUGGGAGUCGUCAACUCAUUAGAGAUAGCCACUUUAAUAGUGACCUCAUCAAUCCAGUCUGUUUCCACAUUAGAGAUGCCAUGAGAAUUUCUACUUCAGAGAGUUCAUCUUUAUAGUUUUGCCGUUGUGCAUACACCCAGGUGAGAAGAGGUUUCUAAGCUAGUGAGACAGAACUAGAGAAGUUGACAUGUUAUUGUAGAAUGAAUAGGAAAAGCUCGGGGCACUUUACUAAGGAUCUGAAAGUAGAUUAGAUUUAUAACCUGCCUACAGUUAUUUAAAAAUACACACACAGCUCUUACAGAUCGAUAUUCUUGAAAAUGCAAACUGGUUAGUGUUUUCUCUUCUAAAUAAAGGAGGCUAGAUUGAUGGAGAGCCCAUUACUUCCAAAUUUAAUCACCUCCAGGCAAUUAAAGCAAUUUUGUGUUUUCUACUUUAGUGUUCCCCUGGAACGACAGCAUCUGGACAACUUUAAUUACCGUUUCAAUUCAGUAAAAGGCACAGAAAUGGCAAGUGUGGUGAUCUAACGGCUCUUCUCCUUAUUGGUUUUUUUGUUUUGUUUUGUUUUGGUUUUUUGUUGUUGUUUUUGGAUUUCUUGACUGUGGGAUUUUAUUUUCUGUUAGUGCCAGGGGAAGUGACUACACAUUUGAGGCUGCUUGUCCUUCCAGGGAAUUGAAGGACACCCAUGAGGAAGCUGAGAUGAGGGCAUUGAAAUAUUUAAUGGACACAGUGUUGCUGAUGGACUCUCUCUGAUGUAAUUCUUGAUGUCACUUUAGCUAUCUCUUUCAGUCCUCUGCUCAUAUUCUGUCAGAACUAACAGUCUGAAAAGUAGUCCCUGGAAUGCAACCGGAAUGUUGUAGAGACUGAAUGCCUGAUGCUGGCCAUUAAGUGACUAGGUCACUGCAAUUCGCGAUCACUCACUGGGUGCUGCUCUUCACCAGCUCCUAAGGUUGGGUGAGCCCGGCCGCAGUCCAUUAUAUACUGGAAAUGGUAUAUCAUGGAGCCUGUCUAGGCAGGGCCAGGGGCACAAGUAGUUUGUGUGAUAGGAGCUCAGAUCUUCUCAUCACUGCUUCUAUUCUACUAAUGUGACUCUUGGAGACAAGACAUGCCUGACCAUUCUACCCCAAGAACAUUCUGUUUAACCUAAUUGACUUAUGAGCUUGCUUUGCAGAAAGUUAACCUACUGCCACAAGACCGAGUAAGACUGGGAAAAACUGGGAAGGAGUCUUGCAGCUGCACAGAAAGGACCGAGAAUGAAUAAAAGUAACCUCCAUGACAACACACGUGAGAUGUCCCCGGACUCCACCAUUUUUUCUACUUAUGCCAUAAGUGCCUAGAGGUCAUUGGGUGGCACCUGAGCAGAAGUAGUGAGGUCUUUUUCCUUACCUCACCUUUCCAAAUGUCCAAUCACCUCCAUCCACCUUCCAGAUCCCCACUCCCUCGUAAAAUCCCGUAAGUGCUCAGGUCCCCCUAUCCUGGGGGAGACGGAUUUUAGAAAUUUACUCCCUGCUCCUUGCUUGGUGCCCAGCAAUAAAACUCUUUCUCUGCUGCAAGAACUGCUGUCAUUGUUUGGCUUACCGUGCAUUGAGCAGGACCCUUGUCCAAUAAUAAACACUUCUUUAGCUAACAGCUGUGAUUCCAUAGAAGAUCCCUAUAAUCAGAUGAUAAAGCAUUUAAAAUUUCAUGCUUGAUUCACAAAUAAAUCAAUUUGGUAUAUUGAUGGGAGCAGAAAUGGAUUGCUGCCACAUUAUACCCCCACUAGCUUAGCUCUAAGAGACUGUGG
rnacentral:lncRNA from 1 species